GAUGAACGCUAGCGGGAGGCUUAACACAUGCAAGUCGAGCGGGAUUAGUAGCAAUACUAUGAGAGCGGCGGACGGGUGCGUAACGCGUAUGCAACCUGCCUUAUACAAAGGGAUAGCCCAUGGAAACGUGGAUUAAUACCUUAUGGGACUAACGGAUCGCAUGGUUUGUUAGUUAAAAUUUCGGUGGUAUAAGAUGGGCAUGCGUCUGAUUAGCUAGUUGGUGGGGUAACGGCCCACCAAGGCGACGAUCAGUAGGGGUUCUGAGAGGAUUAUCCCCCACACUGGUACUGAGACACGGACCAGACUCCUACGGGUGGCAG
rnacentral:rRNA from 1 species